rnacentral:rRNA from 1 species
AGAGUUUGAUCAUGGCUCAGAACGAACGCUGGCGGCAUGCCUCAUACAUGCAAGUCGAACGAAGUCUUCGGACUUAGUGGCGCACGGGUGAGUAACAUGUGGGAAUCUACCUAAAGGUUCGGAAUAACUGCGGGAAACUGUAGCUAAUACCGGAUGUGUCUGCAAAGAGAAAGAUUUAUCGCCUUUAGAUGAGCCCGCACUAGAUUAGCUAGUUGGUGAGGUAAUUGCUCCACCAAGGCUACGAUCUAUAGCUGAUUUGAGAGGAUGAUCAGCCACACUGGGACUGAGACACGGCCCAGACUCCUACGGGAGGCAGCAGUAGGGAAUAUUGGACAAUGGGGGAAACCCUGAUCCAGCAAUGCCGCGUGAGUGAAGAAGGCCCUCGGGUUGUAAAACUCUUUCAUCAAUGAUGAUAAUGACAUUAGUUGAAGAAGAAGCUCCGGCUAACUUCGUGCCAGCAGCCGCGGUAAUACGAAGGGGGCUAGCGUUGUUCGGAAUCACUGGGCGUAAAGCGUAUGUAGGCGGAUCAAAAAGUUAGAUGUGAAAUCCCUGGGCUCAACCCAGGAACUGCAUUUAAAACUAGUGAUCUAGAAUUUGGUAAAGGUUAGUAGAAUUUCCAGUGUAGAGGUGAAAUUCGUAGAUAUUGGAAAGAAUACCAGAAGCGAAGGCGACUAACUAGGCCAUUUUUGACGCUGAGAUACGAAAGCGUGGGUAGCAAACAGGAUUAGAUACCCUGGUAGUCCACGCAGUAAACGAUGAGUGCUAGUCGCUGGGACAUUAGUUUCAGUGUCGAAGCUAACGCAUUAAGCACUCCGCCUGGGAAGUACGGUCGCAAGAUUAAAACUCAAAUAAAUUGACGGGGGCCCGCACAAGCGGUGGAGCAUGUGG